CGCAGGCAUCCCACGGGCGCUUCCCUAGCCGCUGUGUCUGGCUCCGGCUUUUUCCAGCAGACGAGGGAGCCAAAUAUCCAAGCCCCAGCACGAAUCGAACUUUGCGAUUCCAGGCCUGAGGCUUUAUACCCACGAAGGUCAGGCAGCGGAACAGGCUUGGAACCUCGGACAAAGUUUUACCAGGACAUUUUCUUCCAGAACAACCAUAUCAUUGUCUCGCCUAACAAAUUAACCGAACACCCAGGCAUCUUGGAGGGUUUCAAAUGAACCUUUUGAUUUCAAGAUCGACUAUGCUGGGGAGGAGACCACUUUGAGGACAAGAUACGAGUGACUGUGUGUAGGAAAGAGUGUUCCAGGGGUUGGGAUCGGGAGGGGCGUGUGUUAGCCAGUGUCCCUCUUGUCCUGCUGGAAAAACAUAACCUGGUCUGAGGUCCUUUGUGUGAAUGUGCUCAUUCCAAUUUGCUUCUUUUGAAAGGAGGAAAACAUGUUUUUGAAGGCUGCUUGACAGACAGGGAAG